UUACCCGUUCUCUUUCCGUAUCCGUUAUUUUUGUCCCGAUAUUUGAAAUAUUUAAGUAAUUUGAAACUUACUUUUGGUAUUUAAAUUUCAUAUUCCUUUAUCAUACCUGUCAUUAGAUAUUUGAAAGUUGAAAUUGAAAUGAAGUUUCCAAAUUUUUUAUUUCGUCUUGUUUUUGAUGAGAAAUAGUUUAGAUACUUUUUUUUUAAUUACCCGUUC
rnacentral:lncRNA from 1 species